rnacentral:rRNA from 1 species
AACGAACGCUGGCGGCAGGCUUAACACAUGCAAGUCGAACGCUCGGAGCAAUCCGGGAGUGGCGGACGGGUGAGUAACGCGUGGGAACGUGCCUCAAGGUACGGAAUAACUGCGGGAAACUGCAGCUAAUACCGUCUGUGCCCCUUACGGGGGAAAGAUUUAUCGCCUUGGGAGCGGCCCGCGUCGGAUUAGCUAGUUGGUGGGGUAACGGCCUACCAAGGCUUCGAUCCGUAGCUGGUCUGAGAGGACGAUCAGCCACACUGGGACUGAGACACGGCCCAGACUCCUACGGGAGGCAGCAGUGGGGAAUCUUGCGCAAUGGGGGCAACCCUGACGCAGCCAUGCCGCGUGAACGAUGAAGGCCUUAGGGUUGUAAAGUUCUUUUGCCCGUGACGAUGAUGACGGUAACGGGAGAAUAAGCUCCGGCUAACUUCGUGCCAGCCGCCGCAGUAACAC